rnacentral:rRNA from 1 species
UACGGAGGGUGCAAGCGUUAUCCGGAUUCACUGGGUUUAAAGGGUGCGUAGGUGGGUUGGUAAGUCAGUGGUGAAAUCUCCGGGCUUAACCUGGAAACUGCCAUUGAUACUAUCAAUCUUGAAUACCUUGGAGGUGAGCGGUAUAUGUCAUGUAGCGGUGAAAUGCUUAGAUAUGACAUAGAACACCAAUUGCGAAGGCAGCUCACUACACGGUCAUUGACACUGAGGCACGAAAGCGUGGGGAUCAAACAGG